rnacentral:lncRNA from 1 species
CCCAAGGGGUCCUUCAGCCAGCUCCAGUUGUGGUGGGAGAGCUGCAGACUGCUGACGGCCUGCCCGGCCCCUGUGUCGACUGCCCCUCCCUAACCAUCUGGGCAUUCUUUGGAGGCCAGGCCCCUGGUGCUCUCAUUGUUUUAAGACUGCUGUGACAACCUGGAGAUCAUCACCAGCCUCCUGGGGUCCCAUCUGACCCCAGCUGUGAUGCCGUCUGCACAGCACCCUCCAUAAUCCCUAAUGCAGACACCCCCAACUGAGCCUACAGACGAGGACACGCCUGACGCCGGCCCCAGGAGAACAUACUGACCUAAAAGAGGAGGCAGAAGUGGACGCUCUCGUCUCCUGCUGUG